ACCGGGGAAAAGUUCACAAGGGCCACCAAGAACAAUGCCAGGACUCGGUCUCUCGGGACCAUGGACACCCACGAACACCCCCUCCCCCACCCGCCCAUAUGAAAACGCUGAAAGGGUGGACGAGGAACGCGAAGGGAUCUAGCACACCGAGGACCGACUUCGAGGAUGGGCAGGAUCAGCGACAUCGUUACGGCGACUUCCGACUCAACCUCCGCUUCUGAAACGUAACCCCAUCAACUCCCUUGUUACUGGUCAGUCUUCAGACAUCUGCGGUAUCUUCCAAACGACAGCUCUCCGUAUUGACAACUCGUCCACAACAUCAGCGGGAACAACGCACUGCGUUUUCCGGGUUUUUCUACGUUAUGUCUGUUAAUUUGUCCAAGAUUAGCGACCUUUAAUAAACAUUAUGCCCUCGUGAAAAA